rnacentral:lncRNA from 1 species
CUGUCUAUCUUCAUACUGUAGUGUCUGUCUGUCUUCAUACUGUCUUGUCUGUGACGGUGGUCUGCAUUUAGAAGAUCACCCUGCUGAGACCUUAAAGAUGUUCUCCACAGGAAUAACUCCUGUUGAGAAGUAGAAACACACUAAAGGGUUUUAACAAAAGACUGUAAACUUCCAGGAGUUGGUCUGAUGUGGGUUCGUGAUGUCAUCAGCCUCCAUCUUUGUUGAGGAACAGUGGAGAACAUAAUAAUAUGACCACCUAUUGAGAAGUGCCUGUUAUGAAGUAAAUCAGCUGUUAAAGGAGACUUAACAUAGACUGGUAGUACUGUAAGGCAGUGACAGUAGAUCAUUGGCUUCAAGAGGCUUUGUAGAGGAUAUCGGGCAGAGUGAGAUUGGGUCAGAAUACUGUUGAAACGGUUUCCUUUACCCUGAAAGUGACUUCUGAGCUCAUCAUACACUGGGUCCCUUGGGUCUGUCUCUCAGGUGUAGAUGGCAUGCCUUGGAGCAGGGGAGAGGAUCUCUCUCCCUCUCCCUCUGUCUCUCUAUCUCUCUCCCUCUGUCUCUCUGUCUCUCUCUGUCUCUCUAUCUCUCUCCCUCUGUCUCUCUGUCUCUCUCGGUCUCCCUCUGUCUCUCUCUGUCUCUCUCUUUGUCUCUCUCCCUCUCUCUCUCUGUCUCUGUCUCUCUCGGUCUCUCUCUCUGUCUCCCUCUGUCUCUCUCGGUCUCUCUCUGUCUCUCUGUCUCUCUCUCUCUGUCUCUCUCCCUUUCUCUCUCUCCCCCUCUCUCUCUCUCUCUCUCUCUCUCUCUGAGUAGAUGGCGUCCAUUGGAGCAGGCCUGCCCUGGGGGGCUGCUUGUUCCCUGUGCGGGGUUGUGUCCUGCCUGUGCGGGGUUGUGUCCUCAGGGUUGACCACCCUCCGGUCCUGGGCAGAGGGGAGCCUGGAGGAUACUUCACCCAGAGCCUCAUCUACACAGCCAGCCCUCCACACACAGGUUACGGAGUCGACAAAGAGCAGAAUGUGAGAGUAGAUGUCAAGAG